rnacentral:lncRNA from 1 species
CUCCCAUGAAAGGAAGUCACUAAGUCAUUAGUGAUUUCUGGGAGGGAAUCACAUAGGUUGCUUUUGUUCAUGCUGUUCAUCAAACAAACAAUCAGAAUUUUUGUGUUAAUGUCUUAUUACCUAAGUAGGCAAGGGAUGAGAAGAAACACAGCAGAGUGACUGAGCCCAAAUCGCUGUCAGGAAGGUGGAGAUUUCAAGCUUGCUGGCUAGAUGGAUGAAAUAGCCUGUCCCCAUGCUGCUCCAAUGGUAGAGAUGUAUGGACAUCCCUUGUGACUAACGAGAGGAUUUAAGCACAGUGUUAGUAUUGCCUCUUCUGUGGAAAAGCCAUAACCAUGAAGGAAAACAGAAACAGGAAAUAAUGAGGAAAACUCUGUGUAAAGCAGAAUUCUCCAGGUGCACUGCUCAAAUAGCACAUGGGCAGUCAUGCCUUAGUCAGAAGAACCAACUUAAGACUGACACUUUUCCAUCAUGAACAGAGCCUUGUCGAGCCCCUCCACCAACAGGCGCGCCACACUUCAUCAGGCAGUUUUUCUCAGGGAUUCUGAGAAAAUUCUCAGGGAUUCUGAGAAGAUUCAAAGAGAACUUUGCUGUUUUUUAACACCUCUAGCUGCAGCUCCUUUCACUAAAGCUAUGAAAUGA